CUCAGUGCUUCGUCGGACAUUUAGAGAUUUCAUCGAACAUUUCUUGUCUUUUUCUCUUUAAUCUUCCCACUAUUUUCAUUUGAUGAUCCUCCCGAAAUCAAAAGAAUUAUUCAUCAAUUUACUGGAUACGAGUUUCCCAC
ensembl:ncRNA D1022.11 ncRNA